rnacentral:rRNA from 1 species
UAAUACCGGAUAUGACCUUCUCACGCAUGUGGGUUGGUGGAAAGUUUUUCGGUUGGGGAUGGGCUCGCGGCCUAUCAGCUUGUUGGUGGGGCGAUGGCCUACCAAGGCGACGACGGGUAGCCGGCCUGAGAGGGCGACCGGCCACACUGGGACUGAGACACGGCCCAGACUCCUACGGGAGGCAGCAGUGGGGAAUAUUGCGCAAUGGGCGAAAGCCUGACGCAGCGACGCCGCGUGGGGGAUGAAGGCCUUCGGGUUGUAAACCUCUUUCAGCAGGGAAGAAGCGUGAGUGACGGUACCUGCAGAAGAAGCACCGGCUAACUACGUGCCAGCAGCCGCGGUAAUACGUAGGGUGCAAGCGUUGUCCGGAAUUAUUGGGCGUAAAGAGCUCGUAGGCGGUUUGUCGCGUCUGCUGUGAAAACUCGGGGCUUAACUCCGGGCCUGCAGUGGGUACGGGCAGACUAGAGUGCGGUAGGGGAGACUGGAAUUCCUGGUGUAGCGGUGAAAUGCGCAGAUAUCAGGAGGAACACCGGUGGCGAAGGCGGGUCUCUGGGCCGUAACUGACGCUGAGGAGCGAAAGCGUGGGGAGCGAACAGGAUUAGAUACCCUGGUAGUCCACGCCGUAAACGUUGGGCGCUAGGUGUGGGGCUCUUUCCACGAGUUCCGUGCCGCAGCAAACGCAU